UGGGGAAUUUUCCGCAGUGGGCGGAAGCCUGACGGAGCAAUACCGCGUGAGGGAGGAAGGCUUUUGGGUUGUAAACCUCUUUUCUUAGGGAAGAAGAAAGUGACGGUACCUAAGGAAUCAGCAUCGCCUAACUCCGUGCCAGCAGCCGCGGUAAUACGGAGGAUGCAAGCGUUGUUCGGAAUUACUGGGCGUAAAGGGCGCGCAGGCGGUCUGUUGCGUCAGGCGUGAAAGCCCCGGGCUCAACCCGGGAACUGCGCUUGAUACGGGCAGGCUUGAAGCCGGCAGAGGGUGGUGGAAUUCCCAGUGUAGAGGUGAAAUUCGUAGAUAUUGGGAAGAACACCGAAGGCGAAGGCAGCCAUCUGGGCCGGUCUUGACGCUGAGGCGCGAAAGCGUGGGGAGCGAACAGGAUUAGAUACCCGCGUAGUCC
rnacentral:rRNA from 1 species